AUACGUAGGUGGCAAGUGUUGUCCGGAUUUACUGGGUGUAAAGGGCGUGUAGGCGGAGAUGCAAGUCAGGAGUGAAAUCUAGGGGCUCAACCCCUAAACUGCUUUUGAAACUGUAUCCCUUGAGUAUCGGAGAGGCAGGCGGAAUUCCUAGUGUAGCGGUGAAAUGCGUAGAUAUUAGGAGGAACACCAGUGGCGAAGGCGGCCUGCUGGACGAAGACUGACGCUGAGGCGCGAAAGCGUGGGGAGCAAACAGGAUUAGAUACCCUGGUAGUCCACGCUGUAAACGAUGGGUACUAGGUGUAGGAGGUAUCGACCCCUUCUGUGCCGGAGUUAACGCAAUAAGUACCCCGCCUGGGGACUACGGUCGCAAGACUAAAACUCAAAUGAAUUGACGGGG
rnacentral:rRNA from 1 species